AUUGAACGCUGGCGGCAUGCCUUACACAUGCAAGUCGAACGGCAGCACGGGAGCAAUCCUGGUGGCGAGUGGCGAACGGGUGAGUAAUAUAUCGGAACGUGCCCAGUCGUGGGGGAUAACGUAGCGAAAGCUACGCUAAUACCGCAUACGAUCUAUGGUUGAAAGCGGGGGAUCGCAAGACCUCGCGCGAUUGGAGCGGCCGAUAUCAGAUUAGGUAGUUGGUGAGGUAAAGGCUCACCAAGCCGACGAUCUGUAGCUGGUCUGAGAGGACGACCAGCCACACUGGGACUGAGACACGGCCCAGACUCCUACGGGAGGCAGCAGUGGGGAAUUUUGGACAAUGGGCGCAAGCCUGAUCCAGCAAUGCCGCGUGCAGGAUGAAGGCCUUCGGGUUGUAAACUGCUUUGUACGGAACGAAACGGUGAGCUCUAAUACAGUUUGCUAAUGACGGGACCGUAAGAAUAAGCACCGGCUAACUACGUG
rnacentral:rRNA from 1 species